AGAGUUUGAUCCUGGCUCAGGAUGAACGCUGGCGGCGUGCCUAACACAUGCAAGUCGAGCGUGAUUGUUAUGAGUGGCGGCUUCGGUCAAAGCGAGUAACAUGAGAGCGGCGGACGGGUGAGUAACGCGUGGGCAACCUGCCCCAUACACGAGGAUAGCCACUGGAAACGGUGAUUAAUACUCGAUAAGACCACACUUCCACAUGGGAGAGCGGUCAAAGAUUUAUCGGUAUGGGAUGGGCCCGCGUCUGAUUAGCUAGUUGGCGGGGUAACGGCCCACCAAGGCGAUGAUGGCUAGGGGGUCUAAAAGGAUGAUCCCCCACACUGGUACUGAGACACGGACCAGACUCCUACGGGAGGCAGCAGUGAGGAAUAUUGGUCAAUGGGCGAGAGCCUGAACCAGCCAUGCCGCGUGCAGGAAGACGGCCCUACGGGUUGUAAACUGCUUUUGUGUGGGAAGAAAACGCACUACGUGUAGUGCACUGACGGUACCAUAUGAAUAAGCAUCGGCUAACUCCGUGCCAGCAGCCGCGGUAAUACGGAGGAUGCGAGCGUUAUCCGGAUUUAUUAGGUUUAAAGGGUGUGUAGGCGGACGAUUAAGUCAGUGGUGAAAUCUCAGAGCUUAACUCUGAAACUGCCAUAGAUACUGGUUGUCUUGAGUACAGUUGAAGUAGGCGGAAUGUGUAAUGUAGCGGUGAAAUGCUUAGAUAUUACACAGAACACCGAUUGCGAAGGCAGCUUGCUAAGCUGUUACUGACGCUGAUGCACGAAAGCGUGGGGAGCGAACAGGAUUAGAUACCCUGGUAGUCC
rnacentral:rRNA from 1 species